rnacentral:rRNA from 1 species
UACGUAGGGGGCAAGCGUUGUCCGGAUUUAUUGGGCGUAAAGCGCGUGUAGGCGGCAGUUUAAGUCGGCCGUGAAAUCUCCAGGCUCAACCUGGAGGGGUCGGGCGAGACUGGAUUGCUCGAGGUGGGCAGAGGGCGGUGGAAUUCCGGGUGUAGUGGUGGAAUGCGUAGAGAUCCGGAGGAACACCAGUGGCGAAGGCGGCCGCCUGGGCCUGGCCUGACGCUGAGACGCGAAAGCGUGGGGAGCAAUCCGGG